rnacentral:tRNA from 1 species
GCCGACAUAGCUCAGUGGAUAGAGCAACUGCCUCCUAAGCAGUAGGUCGCAGGUUCAACUCCUGCUGUCGGCGCCA